GCCGUCGUAGCUCAGCCUGGUAGAGCGCCGGCCUUGUAAGGGACUCCAUGAAAGCCGGCGGUCGCGGGUCCGAAUCCCGCCGACGGCU
rnacentral:tRNA from 1 species